rnacentral:rRNA from 1 species
CCUACGGGAGGCAGCAGUGAGGAAUAUUGGUCAAUGGGCGCAAGCCUGAACCAGCCAAGCCGCGUGAAGGAAGACGGCUCUACGGGUUGUAAACUUCUUUUAUAAAGGAAUAAAGUGAGACACGUGUGCCUGUUUGAAUGUACUGUAUGAAUAAGGAUCGGCUAACUCCGUGCCAGCAGCCGCGGUAAUACGGAGGAUCCAAGCGUUAUCCGGAUUUAUUGGGUUUAAAGGGAGCGUAGAUGGGCUGUUAAGUCAGAUGUGAAAGCUCGCGGCUCAACCUUAAAAUUGCAUUUGAUACUGUUAGUCUUGAGUGCAGUUGCGGUAGGCGGAAUGUGUGGUGUAGCGGUGAAAUGCUUAGAUAUCACGAAGAACACCGAUUGCGAAGGCAGCUUACUAAACUGCCACUGACAUUGAUGCUCGAAAGUGUGGGGAGCAAACAGGAUUAGAUACCCGAGUAGUC